CCCCUGGCCGCCCCUGGCCGCCCCUGGCCGCCCCUGGCCGCCCCUGGCCGCCCCUGGCCGCCCCUGGCCGCCCCUGGCCUUGGCUGCUUCCUCCAGCUCAGACCGAGCCCUGUACGUCCACAGGAGCAGCUCAGUCUCCGUGUUUGGAGGUGGAUCGGCGCGGUCCAUCGGACCUGUGGGACCACGGGGUGCACCACGAGGUACUGCUCUGCCCCGACAGCGCUCCUAGCCAUCCCAGAGGUGGCUGCAAAAGCCACAGGCCCAGCUUUGGGGAUGAGGGGUGAGCACUGCUCCUGCCUCGGGGACUCAUCGGUGUGCAGGACUUCACCUGCAGCUCCUGCUGUGCUCCCUGCUUCCGGGACCCCGGGGGAGGAAAGGGCAGGCUCCUCAGCCCUCCCCCUUGCUUCUGCGUGGGACCCUUGCUGUACGAACCACCUUCCCACAUCAUCGUGCGAAGUGGGGUCAGCGACCAAGCAAGGGAAUGAGGCACCAGGCAGAGAUGGAGGCUCUGAGGGGGACAGCCUGGGAGGGAGGGGAGCUCCUCAGUGAGCUGCGCGGCCGCUGAGUGUGAAGGCUGUGUGUAAGCCGAGGGCAAGUCGAGACCAUCGGUUCCCACGUGCAGAAAGCUACACUUCGGGCCUCUCGAGGUGUUCGAGUUGCACUCUGGUGUAAAUGGUGUGCUUUUGCUUUUGCUAACUCCGUGCUGUGACUUCCCCAAAUCAGAUCUCCUUGAGCCGCACUGAGAACAGAAACUGCUGCUCUGGACUCCUGCUCCACCUGCCGGAUGGAAACUCCUCCUGGAGCGCCUCUUAGCUGUGCUCUCCGAGCGCCGGCCCCUCUGCCACAGCAACAUCUGGGCGCCCACAGGAGGAAGACGGCAGCCCUCGGCCUCUGGGCCGAUCCUCAAGACGUAGUGAGCUCAGGUGGUUGCCAGGUCUUCCAUUCGGAAUCUCUGGGAGUUGGGGCUCAGGGGACCUCAGCCCGCUCCUGGGCUGGAGACGGAGCCCGGGCCAGCUUCGCAAGGUCAGUUACUCCUGCUGGCCUGAAGGGAAACUUCGAACCCAAAGUGAUUAAACACCGGGAAGCCUUCAGCUGUCCCACUGAUGCGCUGUGACAGAAGAACACCAGUCGGGCAGCACCUGAAGAGUUCAUGCUCUGUGCUUUUAAUUUGAAUCUGACUGCAAAGCAAUUGGUUUAGAAAGACCAUGUGGGAAAUAGAAAUGGUGACGUGGACUCCCAGUCCGGACAUUCAGAUUGGCAAUAAAUGCGGUUACAUUUCAGUGAGCGUCAAUUUGGUUUUCUUUGUAAGACACAAACAUUGAGACUGUAUUGU
rnacentral:lncRNA from 1 species